rnacentral:lncRNA from 1 species
GAUAUAGCAGUCCAGUUAUUCAAACUUCUAUUGGUAGUAAACCAAGAUCAGAUGCUGGUGGAAGGAAAUAAACUACAAGAUUCAAUAUUUUCCAGUAUUUAACAGGUUUUAGGGGAAUAGUAAUCAUAAGGUCUGUGGAACUGAAUGUCUCUUGCUGAGUGUCCUUGAUACAGUGGAGAAAGACAACAAAAGGCUGAGGGUGAUUGAUCAGUGACUUAUCUGUGAAAGCCAAAGGACCUCAGUAGUAAGAUAUAAAUAAAUUCUAAUUUCUCAAAGCUAAAGAAAGGAGGGUGCUGAAUAUCUGGACCUGAACUGGGCUUCCUGACAGCAGAGAAUUUGAGUUCCCAAGGCCAGCAAUUCUGCCAUUCAAGAGUGAAGAGAAAUGUGCUUUCUGCUGAUAUUGUGCCUGAAGAGGAAUUAUAGGUAAGCUGGUGAAUCUUUUUUAACCAUUUAAGUUCUGACAAGCUGUGUUUUUUUUUUUUUUUUUUUUUUUAAAGCUGACAAUUCAGAAAAUAUUGAGAGUGCCAUGAAAGUUUUUAUUCAGUUCCUGGUAAACUUGUUUUUAAAGGA